rnacentral:rRNA from 1 species
AUUUUGCUAGUAGCUGCGAAUGAAUACAAAGCUAAUCAUAAUGACAAUUGCUGCACACUUUGUGCAGUGAAUUGUUUACUUUUGGUAUAAUGCUAUCAAAGCUGCAUACAAAUGAUUUUUGAAAUGAUACAACAUGGGAUGCGAUGUUCAUGUAUGUGUGCCUGCUUUGUCCACAGCAUGUGCUGAAUGAAUCACAUUUCUUGCAACUGAAAUGCAAAUGGCAUGGUGAAGUUCAUGUGACAUGACACAUGCUUGAGAUUCAUGAUGUGCAAGUACCAUGAGGGAAAUGUGAACAGGACUGUGGAAAGAGAAUUAAAUAAAGCCUGCAAUUGCUGGACAUGAAAGCAAGCGUAGACAUUCAUUGAAGUGUUACUGCAUCUUUACACCACCUUUAUGGUUACUGUAUGCUUUACAUUACAACACAAAUAAUGAAGUGCGUGUGUGUGUGUGUGUGUACUUUGCUUCAAUUGUUUCCACCUGGGAUCACUUGAAACAUUGUCUGAGCACUCUUCAGUAUCACUAUGUGUACACCAGUAUAUUCCACUCCUUGUUGGCACACAUGUGAGGAUGAUGUGUUUAUGUGCCAUACUUCUGUGUUCACGAAACAUGUUGUGCACAUCUUCACUUGACCCGUCUUGAAACACGGACCAAGGAGUCUGGCAAGUGUGCAAACUGACUUUAUGUAAUGAUUUGUAUGUAAUGAAAAUAUUUGUAUUAUAAUUGCACCACCAAUCAAUAUUCAGCUGGUUGCUUAUUUGAAUGUGUGAAUUGUUGCUAGGACCCGAAAGAUGGUGAACUAUGCUUCCAUAACAUGAGU